rnacentral:rRNA from 1 species
AAUGAACGCUGGCGGCGUGCCUAACACAUGCAAGUCGAGCGCGAAAGGCCUUCGGGCUGAGUAAAGCGGCGAACGGGUGAGUAAAGCGUGAGAAUCUACCCUUCAGUGAAGGAUACCUUCGAGAAAUCGGAGUUAAUACUGCAUUCGUCCCUUCGGGGAGAAAGAUGGCCUCUUUGCUGUCGCUGAUUGAUGAGCUUACGUACUAUUAGCUAGUUGGUAGGGUAAAGGCCUACCAAGGCGAUGAUGGUUAGCCGGCCUGAGAGGGUGUACGGCCACA